CACUUAACUUGGAGUCCGAACUCCUCACUUUCCUAACCCUGUGCACUUGUUUGGGAUAGUAACUCUCGCAAGAGAGCGAACUCCUAUUCACUUAUAAACACAAAGUCUAUGAAUGUAUUAAAUUUUAUAACAAAAUAAAACUUUCAACAACGGAUCUCUUGGCUCUCGCAUCGAUGAAGAACGCAGCGAAAUGCGAUAAGUAAUGUGAAUUGCAGAAUUCAGUGAAUCAUCGAAUCUUUGAACGCACCUUGCGCUCCAUGGUAUUCCGUGGAGCAUGCCUGUUUGAGUGUCAUGAAUACUUCAACCCUCCUCUUUCUUAAUGAUUGAAGAGGUGUUUGGUUUCUGAGCGCUGCUGGCCUUUACGGUCUAGCUCGUUCGUAAUGCAUUAGCAUCCGCAAUCGAACUUCGGAUUGACUUGGCGUAAUAGACUAUUCGCUGAGGAAUUCUAGUCUUCGGAUUAGAGCCGGGUUGGGUUAAAGGAAGCUUCUAAUCAGAAUGUCUACAUUUUAAGAUUAGAUCUCAAAUCAGGUAGGACUACCCGCUGAACUUAAGCAUAUCAUA
rnacentral:rRNA from 1 species